CCUACGGGAGGCAGCAGUGAGGAAUAUUGGUCAAUGGGCGGGAGACUGAACCAGCCAAGCCGCGUGAGGGAUGACUGUCCUAAGUAUUGUAAACCUCUUUUAUCAGGGAAUAAAGUCGAGGACGCGUACCGGUUUGCAUGUACCUUAUGAAAAAGCAUCGGCUAACUCCGUGCCAGCAGCCGCGGUAAUACGGAGGAUCCGAGCGUUAUCCGGAUUUAUUGGGUUUAAAGGGUGCGGAGGCGGGUUGUUAAGUCAGUUGGGAAAGGUCGGGGCUCAACCCCAGGACUGCAGUUGAAACUGGCAGCCUCGAGUUGGAGAGAGGUAUGCGGAAUGCGUGGUGUAGCGGUGAAAUGCAUAGAUAUCGCGAAGAACUCCGAUUGCGAAGGCAGCAUGCUGGAUUGAAACUGACGCUGAGGCACGAAAGCGUGGGUAUCGAACAGGAUUAGAUACCCUAGUAGUC
rnacentral:rRNA from 1 species